rnacentral:tRNA from 15 species
GGCCGUUAUAGCUCAGUUGGUAGAGCACACCCAUGGUAAGGGUGGGGUCUGCAGUUCAAGUCUGCAUAACGGCUA